AUUGAACGCUGGCGGCAGGCUUAACACAUGCAAGUCGAGCGGAGAUGAGGUGCUUGCACCUUAUCUUAGCGGCGGACGGGUGAGUAAUGCUUAGGAAUCUGCCAUUUAGUGGGGGACAACAUUCCGAAAGGAAUGCUAAUACCGCAUACGUCCUACGGGAGAAAGCAGGGGAUCUUCGGACCUUGCGCUAAAUGAUGAGCCUAAGUCGGAUUAGAUAGUUGGUGGGGUAAAGGCCUACCAAGGCGACGAUCUGUAGCGGGUCUGAGAGGAUGAUCCGACACACUGGGACUGAGACACGGCCCAGACUCCUACGGGAGGCAGCAGUGGGGAAUAUUGGACAAUGGGCGGAAGCCUGAUCCAGCCAUGCCGCGUGUGUGAAGAAGGCCUUUUGGUUGUAAAGCACUUUAAGCGAGGAGGAGGCUACUAGUACUAAUACUACUGGAUAGUGGACGUUACUCGCAGAAUAAGCACCGGCUAACUCUGUGCCAGCCGCCGCAGUAAGAC
rnacentral:rRNA from 1 species